rnacentral:rRNA from 1 species
UACGGAGGAUCCGAGCGUUAUCCGGAUUUAUUGGGUUUAAAGGGUGCGUAGGCGGCCUAUUAAGUCAGGGGUGAAAGACGGUAGCUUAACUAUCGCAGUGCCUUUGAUACUGAUGGGCUUGAAUGUAGUUGAGGUAGGCGGAAUGUGACAAGUAGCGGUGAAAUGCAUAGAUAUGUCACAGAACACCAAUUGCGAAGGCAGCUUACUAUGGUUUUAUUGACACUGAGGCACGAAAGCGUGGGUAGCAAACAGG